UGUACUGAUAGUUGCUCAUCGGAGGGUAAAGCACACUGACACAAUAUUUUACGUGGUUCGGCAAAACCGCCUACAUCCACGGGAGAGAGUCCAUAUUAUUUAGAGAUAGAGAAAGGAUUACAACACAAUACAUGGAGGAGGAGGAUCACUUCACUCAAACUCAACUCCCAGCUCUCUUGCUGCACUUGCAGCUGCUGCAAUGGCAGCAAGGCUGCUGCCAUUGCAACUCUCCACUUUCUCUCUAUACUCUUCACAUUCUCACCACUCUCAUCUCUCUAUACUCUUCACAUUCUCACACCUCUCUUACUCUCUGUUUGCUAUACUCUCUUGCUGCCUAUUUAUAGGCAAGAAUGGUGUCACCAGCUCCAACACUUCUUCAACAAAGGUGGCUGCCAACCUUUGACAUCUUGGAUGGGUGCACAUGGUUGGUGCAACUCCAGCUGCAGCUGCUGCAAUUGUCAAUGGUUGUUGCACAUUAAUGGCAACCAACCCAACAAUCACCCCCUUUGCCAUUCAUGUGGGGCAACUGUCCUCUUGCUUCUUCAGCACAGGCUUGCAUCCUGCAGCUCUUCCAAGCUUACCAUUCCGAGAGCGUCUGUGACCAAGUUUAUAGGUACUCGCCAAACCUUUCAAUCACCAGAGUCACCAAAGCACACCUUUUCUCACACAAAAGGAUCACUACAACCAGAUGGUCUGUCACUUCACAUCUGAAGAGUGUUAACGCUUGUCUCUAGGACACACUGCAUUCCCCUUCGAGCGUAUCAACCAUGCUCGGUCCGGAAUGAUUCAUCAAGCCUCACAUCAAGGCUUACAACACCCCCUCAAACGGAAAUUUCUAUUUCCAAGUGCGACAAUCAUUAUCUGAGUAUCUCAAUAUGAUCACGAGCUCACCACUCUUCCAAGAGUCUACUCAUCCAGGAGUUGCGCCUGCCCUCUGUUCCACUAUAGGAACCACGCCUUACCUCUCCGUGAGUCUCUCGCUCUUAGUCUCAAGAGUCCAGGUAGCUCUCCACCUUCACCUAUGGGGGCAGCCCAUUAAAGGUUGAUCCAUAUAUGUCUUGAUACUGAGUAUUACAAUGCCUUCACUGAGCUCACCACCUUGACAAGAGUCAACUUGUUCCGGGAACCUGGGCAUACCCUCUGCUCCUUCAUAGCAGCCGCGUCUUAAUGCUCCACAAGUCACACACUUAUUGUCCAAGGCAAAUGUCUUCUAGCUCAUUGAUCUUUAGCAUGGGGGCAAUAUCCAUGAAAGUCAAUCCUGCAUCUGUCUCCAUACUCAUCAUAGCCACUUCAUUGGCUAUACACCUGUCCACUUAUAUCUAGCCAUCACAUUGGCUCUGGGGUUGUUCUGAACGGGGGCUCCUAUCACGGCCCUCACACCUUCUAUAAGGUGUCUUCGCCUGUUGUCAUGGGGCGGUCUAAUUUGGGGCUCCUUUAAUGGCCCUCACACCUUCUCUAAGGUGUCUUCGCCUGUUGUCAUAAGGCGGUAUGAACUGGGGCUCCUAUCAUGGCCCUUACACCUUCUUCAAGGUGUCUUCGCCUUUCAUAGGCGGUCGCAUCCUCCUUCAGCUGAGAUGCUUCAAAGUGGCUCAAAAAAUCUCUACCACCAUGUGGACUAUGGGAGAUCACUGCCACUGAUUACAUAGAAAGAGAAACUUGCGGUAUACUCCUCGCAAUCCUCCACCUCGAUUUCUAUGUUUGGAGCUUCUAUGCCUUUCUGUUUGACAGCUCCACCUACACCAACUCUCUUUGGUGUCUUCGCCUUUCAUCAUAGGUGGUCGCCUUUUAUCACAGGCGUUUGCACCCCCUCAAUUAGGUGCCUCUGCAACAACUCUCUUUCCAUCCUUGCAUGCAUUGGAAAGGUCUUCGCAUGUUGUUUUCAUCAAGAGCAUAAGAGACUUCUUGUUGUACAAACUUUAAUAGUCUUUGCUCUGAGCUUCAUCUGGGAACUCUUCUUCUCCUUGCACCUGUUGUCUCAUUACAGUACCUCGUUGGAUCCUACGGGUACCCCUGCACAAUCUCCGUGUGCCCUCGUGCAAUUUCUGUUCUCCAGAUUUCUCCCUAUUCCUUGCUUAUGUUUGACAGCAGCUCAUCCUGUCACAACACCUAUCGAAGUAAAAAUAGGGUGCCAAUCUUUAUCCCUUUGCUGUAUUCCUCUUCCAUUAUCAGGGUCUUCAUCAAUUCUUCCCUCGAGAAAUCACAGUCACCGAAUCUAACUUCUUUGGAGAAAUCACCACUUCAUCAGAUCCUUGAUCAUACGGAACCCAACUGUUCCCUUGUGCCGUCAUCCUGCUAGUCUUCAACUGUUUCAUUACAAACUGAUGUAUAUACAAAAAUAGUACCGUAUGGAUAAUCCUUCCACUAAGCAAGUUCCCAGGAAAGAUUGGAGGGGUCACACUGGUCCUGCUUAAAACCCAACCUCCUAGACAGAACUUCUUAGGCCAUAUCUAUCCAUCGUACUGUCUUUCUGUAUAUACAACCAUUUGCUAGCUUUGUUGCGGCUUUCCUUUACAAGUGAUCUGGAAUAUACUGGUUUAAUACAUGAUUUCUCAACAUCUGGCGAGACUACCAGUUCUUAGAUUCGUCAAGAUUGGUCUUCAUCAAUUUUCACUCUACACCUCUAAUUGUCCACAUGAUCGGGUGUCCAGAGUGUCCCAAUUUUGCCUUCCCUCAAGGCAAUUAAAAUUCUCUCCACUUAGCAGUUCAACACAUGUAAUUGGGUAAACAUAUGUGACAUGUUCUUCUUCAUCUCCAUCGACCACCAUGAUGACCUUCAGAUGCCUCCUGAUCGGGCAAUCUCUUUUGUUAAUUCACCACCGCCAUUUUUGGUCUCAAAUAUCAACGAUCGGACCGUACCAUUGCAUCCGGAAUGAUCAAAUUAGCUGGAAACAAGUCUGAAAUCGUCCAAAUCGCAUUUCAGACAGCUAAGAUUUGAUCAAAACAAUUCUGGCCUGAUCAACGGCUCAGAUUCAAUCUCAGAUCCGGUUGCACGUAGGAUCAACUACACUGGAUCCUGUCCCUCGGCUCGCGGCUCGGCUCGGCUUCAAAACGGCUCGGCUCAACUCGGCUAAGCUCGCGGCUGAUGAUGUGGUAGGUGGGUCCCACUGUGCUGACGUGUCUGCUGACUGGUCGAUGAUGUGGCUGAUGACAUGGCAUGCUUACUGUGCAUGCUUACAUCACACUUACAUCAGGCUGAUGUUAUCCCUGGCAUGCCUACUGUGCAUGCUGACAUCACAAUUAUAUCAUGCUGAUGUCAUUCAUAAGCGGGUCAGCCAUGUGGGUCGGGUCAACUGGUAUUCGGGUCGGGUCAGCCCAUCCGAGGGAAGAAGACGCGUGGGUCGCGUCUGCGCGCGUGGGCAGACGCCCUGCCGGAGAGUGAUGGAGAGUGCGGGCAUGUCCGACGUCCGAUUUUGACGCCGUUUUCACCAGUGGCUUCGUCUCGGCCUCCUCUACACAGUGGUAUGGUCAAAAUACCAUUUUGAGAACUUUCAUUUUUUAGCAAAAAUCAAACACCCCUUUAAACCAUGUGCUCUGAUACCAAUUGUUGGGGAUUCCGGCUCCCCCAUGCGCGGACCGGGGGUGUACUAAUAGUUGCUCAUCGGAGGGUAAAGCACACUAACACAAUAUGUUACGUGGUUCGGCAAAACCGCCUACAUCCACGGGAGAGAGUCCAUAUUAUUUAGAGAUAGAGAAAGGAUUACAACACAAUACAUGGAGGAGGAGGAUCACUUCACUCAAACUCAACUCCCAGCUCUCUUGCUGCACUUGCAGCUGCUGCAAUGGCAGCAAGGCUGCUGCCAUUGCAGCUCUCCACUUUCUCUCUAUACUCUUCACAUUCUCAC
rnacentral:lncRNA from 1 species